GACGAACGCUGACGGCGUGCUUAACACAUGCAAGUCGAAGGGAGUGGCGAACGGGUGAGUAACACGUGAGUAACCUGCCCUUUUCUUUGGGAUAAGCCUGGGAAACUGGGUCCAAUACUGGAUGGAUUGGGAUGGGCUCGCGGCUUAUCAGCUUGUUGGCGGGGUCAUGGCUUACCAAGGCUUUGACGGGUAGACGGCCGGAGAGGGUGGUCGGUCACACGGGGACUGAGAUACGGCCCGGGUACCUACGGGAGGCGACAAUGGGAGAUAUUGCACAAUGGACGAAAAUCUGAUGCAGGUACUUCGAGUGGGAGAUGAAGGCCUUCGGGUUAUCAACUCCUUUCGCCCGCGAAAUAGUAGUGCGUAAAGAACCGCGGGCUAACUACGAGCCAGCGGCCGCGGUAAUA
rnacentral:rRNA from 1 species